rnacentral:rRNA from 1 species
UACGGGGGGCAAGCGUUGUUCGGAAUUACUGGGCGUAAAGGGCUUGUAGGUGGCCAACUAAGUCAGACGUGAAAUCCCUCGGCUUAACCGGGGAACUGCGUCUGAUACUGGAUGGCUAGAGUGUGGGAGAGGGAUGCGGAAUUCCAGGUGUAGCGGUGAAAUGCGUAGAUAUCUGAAGGAACACCAGUGGCGAAAGCGGCUUCCUGGUCCAGUACCGACGUCAGGCACGAAAGCGUGGGAGCAAACAGG